CCCUACGGGACGCAGCAGUCGAGAAUCAUUCACAAUGGGGGAAACCCUGACGGUGCGACGCCGCGUGGGGGAAUGAAGGUCUGCGGAUUGUAAACCCCUGUCAUGUGGGAGCAAAUUAAAAAGAUAGUACCACAAGAGGAAGAGACGGCUAACUCUGUGCCAGCAGCCGCGGUAAUACAGAGGUCUCAAGCGUUGUUCGGAAUCACUGGGCGUAAAGCGUGCGUAGGCGGUUUCGUAAGUCGUGUGUGAAAGGCGCGGGCUCAACCCGCGGACGGCACAUGAUACUGGGAGACUAGAGUAAUGGA
rnacentral:rRNA from 1 species